AAAUGUGAGGGCGAUCUGGCUGCGACAUCUGUCACCCCAUUGAUUGCCCGGGUUAAUUCGGCUGAUCUGGCCGGCUAGGCGGGUGUCCCCUCCCUCCCUCACCACUCCAUGUGCUUCUCUCCCAAAGCUGCACACUCGGUGGAAGAGGAUGACCAUCCCAGAUAGAAGGAGUGUACUGUUCUUCGGUCAAGUGUACAGUAUACAAUAGCUGUGCUCCCCUGCAUAGAACCUCCAAGCAAGACCAUGUCCCCUUUUGAGAUGGAUCCACUAUUAAGAGCUAAAGAGCUGAACUGGGCCAGAGCAAGGGUCCGUCUGGCCCAGU